UAUUUUUAAAAAAUCACCAUUUUCUUUUUCCAAGAACAUCACAUUUAAUUUUUUUUUUUUCCUUUUUUAUUGCAAAUCACCUAACAUGUUAAUCAAAAAAAAAAUUUACUUUUUUAUUUAUUUAUUAUACUUUUCAAAAUCACCCCCUUUUUAUUUUUUCUUUUUUCCUUUUUUUUUUUAUCAAGACCCAAACAAUAUUUUCAUUUUAAUUUUCCAAUGUUCAUAAAAUUCACCUUUAAAAAUUGGAAUCAAUAGUUGAGAAAUAUUUAUACUACUAAGGGGUGCUUUAUGGAAUAAAACAAGAAAUUAAAUCAAGAUAUUUAAAUCUCUAACAUCUUUCCCAUGAAUUUUGUCUCUGACCUGCUAAUCCUAAAAUUUGACACCAACGUGUAUCACUUUGGCAACCCAACACCUAUCUCUUUGACAACUAGUGAUUUUUUUAUCCUUUUUUGGCUACCCG
rnacentral:lncRNA from 1 species